UAAAAGCUACUUUCGCAUGAAAGAAGUUUAAAAAGGACGGCGUAAGCUGUCGCUAAAGGGAUGGACCUGCGAUGCAUUAGCUAGUUGGUAAGGGUAACGGGCUUACCAAGGCGAUGAUGCAUAGCCCGAGUUGAGAGACUGAUCGGGCCACAUUGGGACUGAGACACGGGCCCAAACUCCUACGGGAGGCAGCAGUAGGGGAAUCUUCCACAAUGGACGAAAAGUCUGAUGGAGCAAACGCCGCGUGAGUGAAGAAGGUUUUCGGAUCGUAAAAAGCUCUGUUGUUGGUGAAGAAGGAUAGAGGUAGUAACUGGCCCUUUAUUUGACGGUAAUCAACCCAGAAAGUCACGGGCUAACUACGCGCCCAGCAGCCGCGGUAAAU
rnacentral:rRNA from 1 species